AGCUACCGAGUGUUCUAAAAUCAAAACAGUCACUGAACUGGCCAAAUACCAGCAGCUUUACCCAGAAUUCAAUAGCGACUGUUCCAAUCACAUAUCCACGUCUAAUUUAAUUGUAAGGGAUUUAUGUAGCUCUGUUCCGAGUUCAAAACUCUGGAAACCAGGAACAAAGGUAGUUGAUGCAUGUGACACCCUUAUGCUUUAUACACCAGUAGCAACUUUUAGUUCCUCUAGCUACCCUAUAGAUGGACUUGCAGGAAUAUUCUUGGGCUGUACCGAUAAAUUUAUAAAAAUUGCUGCCCAGGAGUGUGGUGGUAAAUUUGAAAUCCUGGAGUUUUCUCGACAUUCCAAUCAUUUAGAGAGCUUUGCAAAUACAUCGUCAAACUACUAUACUAUAACAUAUUAGAAGAAUAGUGUGUAUUGACAUGAUGUAAACAUUUGUGAAACUUAAUGAACAAUA